AUGCGGAGGGUCCGAGCGUUAUCCGGAUUUAUUGGGUUUAAAGGGAGCGUAGGCGGGAGAUCAAGUCAGCUGUGAAAUGUAGAUGCUCAACAUCUGCACUGCAGUUGAAACUGGUUUUCUUGAGUGCGUAAGGGGCAGGCGGAAUUCGACGUGUAGCGGUGAAAUGCUUAGAUAUGACGAAGAACUCCGAUCGCGAAGGCAGCCUGCCGGGCCGCGACUGACGCUGAAGCUCGAAGGUGCGGGUAUCGAACAGGAUUAGAUACCCUGGUAGUCCGCACAGUAAACGAUGGAUACUCGCUGUCGGCGAUAUACGGUCGGUGGCCAAGCGAAAGCGUUAAGUAUCCCACCUGGGGAGUACGCCGGCAACGGUGAAACUCAAAGGAAUUGACGGGG
rnacentral:rRNA from 1 species